GUAUGGAUCAUUACCGUUUCUUGAUUGAUAUUUCAAUCAUAAACAAACUAUAACUUCGCACAAUCAUAUAUCUAUUUAUAUGAUUGUGUCGCACCAUUAUGUAAAUAACAAUGUCAUCAUAUUUUUAACAUCAAAAUUGUUUUGAUAUUUUGUUUGUUAUUAUAUGUUGUCUUGUUUUAAACCUUUCCAUUCAACAAAUCAUUGUUGUUUGUCAUUGAAUAUGAAUCGAAUAUAUCUAUAAAUAAAACAGAAAAUAUAAUUCUGUACGGUGGAUCACUCGGCUCGUUAUUCGAUGAAGAGCGCAGCAAAGUGCGAGAAAGCAAUGCGAAUUGCAGGACACAUUGAGCAUGAAUAACUCGAACGCAUCUAGCAGCCAAGGCAUUAGUCGAGGCUAAAUUUGCUUCAGUCUUGUUUACAUAACAUCAAAUUUAUUUAUUUUAUAUAAAUAAAUUGCUGGCAAGUUCGAUCGGAGUAAAAUCUAUCUAGCUUGCAAUACAUAUAUAUAAUACUUCAUUUUUUAUUAAAUGUUGUAUACGUAUUAAACGGAGUUAUACACAUACAUAAUUUUUAUUGUGUAAACUGUCAUAACACGAGAAAUCUUUAUCAUAUCCGUGUUAUUGAUAAAAUACAAUAUGAACUAUAUAAAUAUGUGUAAAAUAUCAAUUCUGUUUUGAAAUGUUUAUUCAUUUUCUAUUAUUUUCAAGCUGAAGUCAAAUUAGAAUACUUGCUGAACUUAAGCAUAUUAAUAAGCAAAGGAAAAGAAAUCAACUGAGAUUGCCUUAGUAAUGGCGAAUGAACCGGCAAAAGCUCAUUGCUGAAGCGUGUUAGAUUUACUUUUGACAUGCAUUGUAGCAUUUGGGGUGACUAUUGUAUGGUGCCUGUUCGUGUGAGUUCCUUUGAUCAGGGCUUUAACCAUAGAAGGUGCUAGUCCUAUAAUCACGAAUAGUUUGUGCCGUACAUUGUACACCUUUCGAGUAGCGUAGUUUGAGAUUGCUACGCCAACGUGGGACGUAAACUUGUUCCAAAGCUAAAUAUUAUAACGAGACAGAUAGCGAACAAGUACCGUGAGGGAAAGUUGAAAAGCACUCUGAAGAGAGAGUUAAAUAGUACGUAAAACCGUACAGAAGAAAACGAAUGGCCGCAUUCAUCAGAUUACUUUGAAUUCAAUUCGAUCUCUAUAUGAUGGUAAUACUUGUCGAUUUGGAACUUCAACAGUCCAUCGAUUUGUUGCUUGCCUGGAGUCGGAUGCAUUUUCAAAGUAUUAACUGAACCUGGAUCUAUAACAUUACAGCUAGUCGAAUCAGCCUAUUUGGUAGCGAGUUUACUCGUGUUAAAAAUAUGGUUUGCAUAAAUAACAAAUUCGACUUGGCGUUAUAGGUAAACAGACAUGGUCUUUGAUUUCAGUACUUUCAGUACGGCAUGCCAUGAGCAUUGUUUGUGUCACAUAGGUGACUAAUUUCUAACCGAUUUUAGUUUCAUUUAUCGUCGAUGCCUAAUGUUUUGUGGCUGUCAAUGAAAUCGGCAAGUCUACAGGAGUUUUGAAUGCCGAGUUAUUCGACCCGUCUUGAAACACGGUCUAAGGAGUUCACUGCAUGUGCAAGAGUUCGGCUGUAUGAAAAGCCUUGCUCGUAAUGAAAGUAAAGAACAUUCUGCAAUGUUUUAAGUGUGAUUUCUGUCAUCUGGUGCAAAUCAUGACAAUGAACGCAACACUGACAGGUUCUAUUGCCGUUGGCAAAGAGCUUAGUAAGAGUAUAUGCAAUGAGACCCGAAAGAUGGUGAACUUAAUGUGUGUAGAAUGAAGCCAGGGGAAACCCUGGUGGAAGUUCGUAGCGGUUCUGACGUGCAAAUCGAUCGUCAAACAUGCAUUAAGGGGCGAAAGACUAAUCGAACCAUCUAGUAGCUGGUUCCGUC
rnacentral:misc_RNA from 1 species